GAUGAACGCUGGCGGCGUGCUUAACACAUGCAAGUCGAACGGAAAGGCUCCUGCUUGCCGGGGUACUCGAGUGGCGAACGGGUGAGUAACACGUGGGUGAUCUGCCCUGCACUUCGGGAUAAGCCUGGGAAACUGGGUCUAAUACCGGAUAGGACCACAUUUUGGAUGGUGUGGUGGAAAGUUUUUCGGUGUGGGAUGAGCUCGCGGCCUAUCAGCUUGUUGGUGGGGUAAUGUCCUACCAAGGCGUCGACGGGUAGCCGGCCUGAGAGGGUGUACGGCCACAUUGGGACUGAGAUACGGCCCAGACUCCUACGGGAGGCAGCAGUGGGGAAUAUUGCACAAUGGGCGCAAGCCUGAUGCAGCGACGCCGCGUGGGGGAUGACGGCCUUCGGGUUGUAAACUCCUUUCGCUAGGGACGAAGCGCAAGUGACGGUACCUGGAGAAGAAGCACCGGCUAACUACGUG
rnacentral:rRNA from 1 species